rnacentral:rRNA from 1 species
UAUCUCUGUAGAGUCUGCAUAUCAAUAAGCGGAGGAAAAGAAACUAACUAGGAUUCCCUCAGUAACGGCGAGUGAAGCGGGAGGAGCUCAAAUUUGAAAUCUUCAAGGUUCUACCUUGACGAAUUGUAGUUUAAAGAAGUGUUUUCUGUUGGAGUUUUGGUAAAAGUUCUUUGGAAUAGGACAUCAUAGAGGGUGAGAAUCCCGUAUUUGACCAUUCUUUCUAGCUUUGUGAUACACUUUCAAAGAGUCGGAUUGUUUGGGAAUGCAGUCCAAAAUGGGUGGUAAAUUUCAUCUAAAGCUAAAUAUUGGCGAGAGACCGAUAGCGAACAAGUACCGUGAGGGAAAGAUGAAAAGAACUUUGAAAAGAGAGUUAAACAGUACGUGAAAUUGUCAAAAGGGAAGCGUUUGACACCAGUGUUGUUUUUCCGAAAAUCAAUUAAAAAUGGAUUCAUGCUAAGUUGUUAUUGUAUUGACCUUAUCAGCUUGCAAUUUAGUUUUGGGUUUCUUUUUGAUGCACUUUUCGGUUAACAAGUCAACAUCAAUUUCCUUUGCUGUAAAAAGGCAGGAGGAAGGUGGCUUCAAUUUCGGUUGAAGUGUUUACAGCCUUCUGUCUCUGCAGUCGGGGAGAUUGAGGUCUGCAGCGUAGAUCCUUCGGGGCUAGAUACAUUCGUGCUAAGUUAUAGCCUUUUAUAGACAACUUGUUGACCAUGAUUGGUCUUGUAAUUUACUCGCGAGUGCUAUUUUACCUACGCUUAGGAUGUUGAUCUACAGAGCGAGAGU